UUGGGGGUCUUCCUGAUGGUUCAAUCGUCUUUCUUCUUACGUAGAGAGGACUGAACCAUGUGGUGAGGAGUAGGAGGAGGUCUUACUCUUGGAGGCUUCCAUCAUGCUCCAGGGCGCGGAACAGACUAACCUCGUGAGUUUGGCAGGGCGGUGGAGCCAAAGUAUCACAAGCCACCACGGGUGCAUGACCCGCCAUAGCUCGACUAUCAUUCUAAAGUUCGGACGAGUCAAGUCUAGUAUUUAACAUCAUAGGAUGAAUAUUUUAUCUUGUUUGCUUUAAAUUAAUAUCUUGUAUGUACAUGCUCUUAAUUGUGUGUUUUUUAUAUAAUUAGCUCACCC
rnacentral:lncRNA from 1 species